rnacentral:RNase_P_RNA from 1 species
UGAGUAAGUCGGAUAAUCGCGGGUACAGUGCCGAAAGGCCGUACCUGAGGAAAGUCCGGGCUCCGCAGGGCAGGGUGCCGGGUAAUACCCGGUGAAGGCGACUUCAAGGAAAGUGCAACAGAAAGAAAACCGCAUGCUUGCCAAAAGCAUGUAAGGGUGAAAGGGUAGGGUAAGAGCCUACCGCGCAUAUGGCGACUUAUGCGGCAUUGUAAACCCCGCCCGAUGCAAG